rnacentral:snRNA from 1 species
UUGCUUUAGCAGCAUAUAUACUAAAAUUGGAAUGAUACAGGGAAAAUCAUAUGGCUCCUGCUCAAGGAUGACACACAAAUUGGUGAAGCAUUUCAUAUUAAA